UACGGGGGGGGCAAGCGUUGUUCGGAAUUACUGGGCGUAAAGGGCUCGUAGGCGGCCAACUAAGUCAGACGUGAAAUCCCUCGGCUUAACCGGGGAACUGCAUCUGAUACUGGAUGGCUUGAGUUCGGGAGAGGGAUGUGGAAUUCCAGGUGUAGAGGUGAAAUUCGUAGAUAUCGGGAGGAACACCAGCGGCGAAGGCGGCGAUCUGGGGCGAUACUGACGCUGAGGUGCGAAAGCGUGGGGAGCAAACAGG
rnacentral:rRNA from 1 species